CCUCAAUUAUAAGAAAUAAAAAGCAUCAAAUUAAGAAAAACUAAGUAUGGAUAGAGAAAGGAUUAUAACGUCAAAAAUGUGAUGUAGUUUCAAUAACUAAUUCAUACCGCGGUUGAUUGUUGGGGAUCUCCUCACAGGUCGUCUUACAAAUAAAUGGAUAUAGUCAUCUUUCAUGUAUCCCUUCUUCACACAGGACCUCUAAGAUCAAACUACAUAAAGCAUCAUUCAGCACACAAGCCCAUACUCAAACAAAAACAAUAAUGAUCUCUUCGAUUGGACAGAAUUUUUAUUGGUUCAUUUGGAACCUACUCAAACUUGAAACCUCACAAGCUGUGAGACGACGAAUUGGACAGAAUUUUCUCCCAUAUUCUUUUAUUUUCUCAGCAAACAAACAGAAUGCAAUAGGAAAUUAAAAAUAGCACGAAGAAAACUAGAAACUAAAAUGAGAGGUGAAACAAGAGAUUCGAAGUAAACAUUACGCACAAUUUACUGACUGAAGCGUCGUCGUUUGCUGCUUGAACUGCUGCUUUAUUGCUGUGCGAAUCAGCCACGGGACUCGCCAUCGUUAAUUUGCCUCUUGUGAGAGAGGAGAGCCUCAAAAACACACCUUAUAUGCUCAACGAUGUGAAGGGAACGAUACAGAGAGGAUUUCCAAGAUGCAAUUGCAAGUUGAUCGGAGAUUUCAGUUCACAUAGCUAACUAGACAAUUUCUUCUGUUCACUGUUCUAGCUAGGGCUGUUCAUGGUUGCUGGGGACCAAACCGAAUUAGGGAAUCCAACCAAAAUGAAGAACUGCAUGGGAUCG
rnacentral:misc_RNA from 1 species